rnacentral:rRNA from 1 species
UUAAAUUGAAGAGUUUGAUCAUGGCUCAGAUUGAACGCUGGCGGCAGGCCUAACACAUGCAAGUCGAACGGUAACAGGAAGAAGCUUGCUUCUUUGCUGACGAGUGGCGGACGGGUGAGUAAUGUCUGGGAAACUGCCUGAUGGAGGGGGAUAACUACUGGAAACGGUAGCUAAUACCGCAUAACGUCGCAAGACCAAAGAGGGGGACCUUCGGGCCUCUUGCCAUCGGAUGUGCCCAGAUGGGAUUAGCUAGUAGGUGGGGUAACGGCUCACCUAGGCGACGAUCCCUAGCUGGUCUGAGAGGAUGACCAGCCACACUGGAACUGAGACACGGUCCAGACUCCUACGGGAGGCAGCA